UACGUAGGGUGCGAGCGUUGUCCGGAAUUAUUGGGCGUAAAGAGCUCGUAGGCGGUUUGUCGCGUCGGCCGUGAAAACUUGGGGCUUAACCCCAAGCCUGCGGUCGAUACGGGCAGACUUGAGUUCGGCAGGGGAGACUGGAAUUCCUGGUGUAGCGGUGAAAUGCGCAGAUAUCAGGAGGAACACCGGUGGCGAAAGCAGCUUUCUGGGACGGUACUGACGCUGAGACGCGAAAGCGUGGGGAGCGAACAGG
rnacentral:rRNA from 1 species